ACCUUGCCCGAUCUUUCUGCCACCGCCGCCUUCCCUUUCCCACCACAACGUCAUUCCCCCGUACGCCGUCGCAGUGUCCGUCUUCUCCCCGUAGCCGACUGCCACAGGCUGCAGCCCUCGCCCAGUGUCUAUGAUGCUUGAAGGCAUAGGCGUUGCUGCCCUGCUCUAUCCGCCGCUGAGGUCACCAUCAGAGGAACGCCCCCAUCUGAACCAACGAGUGGGACGCGGGCUUCCGCCGCCGGCUGCAGCCUUCGCUUGCCGCCGAUGCCGCUCGAAGAUGGAGGAAGAUGCGCUGAUGCCCGACACGAUCCCACGCCGAGGCCGCCACCAGAGGUCCGUCCCCCACCGAUCCUCAAACUCGCCCACCCGUCGCCCGAAGCCAUCCACCCUCUCCGUUUGCUGCUGCAGGCAGUACAUCUGCUAUUCUGUUCUUCCUGUCGACUCUGGAUCUAUGUAUUGUUCAUAAAUAUGAACUGGAUGUCAAUGAGAAGUUGCAGAGGCUGAACUAACAGAAAGAUGAUAGCAUCAUAAGCUAUUCUGCGCCCUUGUCCAUUCUAAGUAGAGGAUGAAGUGAACCAUGGGUAGGAUGAGUGAAGUUCAGAUAAAAAAUUUGUUCGCAUGAUUGGCAGGGAUGGAGCUGCUUCAUUGGCACUGGUGUCAGCUGAUGCCGACUAGAAGUUGCAUUUGUUGAUGUUGGACACUACAGAAAUGGUAACUUUGCAAGAAGCCAGAAACUUGUGAAACGUCGGUUGGAGAUGCCUUAUGAGGUUUUGGGGACAAAGAACUUGUCUCCGCCGCAGCUACCAUGGUUGUUGAUGACCAUGUCGAGGAUCUUUACAGGGUGGCCCUUUCUGUCCAGGCUUAGAUAUGUAGAGGGCUGCAAAUAUAAGAAUGUAGAACUUUGUUAUUUGACUUAUUUCUGGAUGCUACAAAAAUA